rnacentral:rRNA from 1 species
GUGGGGAAUCUUCCGCAAUGGACGAAAGUCUGACGGAGCAACGCCGCGUGAGUGAUGACGGCCUUCGGGUUGUAAAGCUCUGUGAUCGGGGACGAAUGGCUGGUAUGCUAAUACCAUAUCAGAGUGACGGUACCCGAAUAGCAAGCCACGGCUAACUACGUGCCAGCAGCCGCGGUAAUACGUAGGUGGCAAGCGUUGUCCGGAAUUAUUGGGCGUAAAGCGCGCGCAGGCGGCUUCUUAAGUCCAUCUUAAAAGUGCGGGGCUUAACCCCGUGAUGGGAUGGAAACUGGGAGGCUGGAGUAUCGGAGAGGAAAGUGGAAUUCCUAGUGUAGCGGUGAAAUGCGUAGAGAUUAGGAAGAACACCGGUGGCGAAGGCGACUUUCUGGACGACAACUGACGCUGAGGCGCGAAAGCGUGGGGAGCAAACAGGAUUAGAAACCCCGGUAGUCC